rnacentral:rRNA from 1 species
CCCUACGGGGCGCAGUAGUAGGGAAUUUUCGUCAAUGGGCGCAAGCCUGAACGAGCAAUGCCGCGUGAACGAGGAAGGUCUUCGGAUCGUAAAGUUCUGUUGAAGGGGAAAAAGAGCGGAGAGAGGAAAUGCUUUCUGAUUGAUAUUACCCUUCGAGGAAGUCACGGCUAACUACGUGCCAGCAGCCGCGGUAAUACGUAGGUGGCGAGCGUUAUCCGGAAUGAUUGGGCGUAAAGGGUGCGUAGGCGGCCUGCUAAGUCUGGAGUGAAAGGUACCGGCUCAACCGGUACAGGCUCUGGAAACUG